GAUGAACGCUGGCGGCGUGCCUAAUACAUGCAAGUCGAGCGAACAGACGAGGAGCUUGCUCCUCUGACGUUAGCGGCGGACGGGUGAGUAACACGUGGAUAACCUACCUAUAAGACUGGGAUAACUUCGGGAAACCGGAGCUAAUACCGGAUAAUAUAUUGAACCGCAUGGUGCAAUAGUGAAAGACGGUUUUGCUGUCACUUAUAGAUGGAUCCGCGCCGCAUUAGCUAGUUGGUAAGGUAACGGCUUACCAAGGCAACGAUGCGUAGCAGACCUGAGAGGGUGGUCGACCAUCCUGUAUCUGAGGCUCGGUCCAGACUCCUGCGGUAGGCAGCAGUAGGGAAUCUUCCGCGAUGGGCGAAUGCUUGACGGAGCAACGCCGCGUGAGUGAUGAAGGUCUUCGGAUCGUAGAACUCUGUUAUUAGGGAAGUACAAAUGUGUAUUUACCUAUGCACGUCUUGACGGUACCUAGUCAGAAAGCCACGGCUAACUACGUG
rnacentral:rRNA from 1 species